CGGGGAAUCUGAGACGCAAGGUUUCCGGCUCUUGGCCGCUAGUGAGGAAGGCUCGAGGCCGAUCCUGGCCCAAAGCAGGGCGCCGGGCCAUUGUCAGUCCUGGGAAGGGGGAUUGGGAGGAGCCCCAGAGGGGCGGCCAUUCCCUGGGGCGGCGUGGAAGGGAGGCAGCACCUCCAGGCGACAAGUAGAGCUGGGCCCUGGCGGGCUGCCACGGGGGUGUCUGGCAGUCUCUCCUGGGUCUAGGGCUGUUCCUCUGAGGUCACGAGGUGGUCCUUCGGGUGUGUCUGGGGUAAGCCCCUCUAGAAUCUGGGGGCGGCCUCCCGGGGGCCAUACUGCAUCACGUAGUGGAGUUGGGAAGAUAAAACCAGCACGUGUAAUGUAAUACAUGACAAUGGAAGAUUCUACGUAAUUAAGGGUUAACUCUGAAAUCAGAAGACAAGUUUUCCAAGACUUGGGAAGGUGGAGAGAUCAGAGAUCAGUGAGAGAACAAAGAAUCGGAUGGAGUUUGGCUCUUGUCGCCCAGGCUGGAGUGCAAUGGUGCGAUCUCAGCUCACCGCAACCUCCACCUUCCGGGUUCACGUGAUUCUCCUGCUUCAGCCUCCCAAGUAGCUGGGAUUACAGGUGCCCACCAUCUCGCCCGGCUAAUUUUUUAUUUUUAGUAGAAACGGCAGUUUCACUAUGUUGGUCAGGCUGGUCUCGAACUCCCAACCUCAGGUGAUCCGCCUGCCUCGGCCUCCCAAAGUGCUGGGAUUACAGGCGUGAGCCACGGCGCCCAGCCUGAUUAUGGUCGUUUAAUCAGCCCUGCAAUCCCCACUCCAUAAUGCCACCCUGCCAAGCUUCCUGAGCUGCUAUCUUUAAUGUUAGAUGCUGGGGCAGGCAGAAUAGUGCCCCUCAGAUAGUCAUGUCCAACUCCCCAGGCCCUGCCAAUGUGUUACCUUUCAUGGCAAAGGGGAAUCAGGGUUGUAGAUGGAACUGAUAUUGCUGUGGAAUAACAAGAAAGAUAUUUGGUCGUUGUCCCUGGUUUCUGGCACAAAGCUCUAAACCCUUGGAAUUUUGAGCAAUAGAGUGUUAAGAGCCUCUUUUGUUUUAGUGAGGCAACUCUUGUACUUAGCUUCAGGGUGGGAGCUGGCUGCCAGAAAGACCAAGCUUGAUUAGAAGAUCAGCAUUUCCUGCACCCCCUCCCCCAACCUCCAGGGAAGGGAGAGUGGCUGGAGAUUGAGCUGAUCACCAGUGGCCACAGUCAAACCUAUGGACUGAAGCCUCCAUAGAAGCCCCUAAAUGAUGGGGUUCAGGGAGCUUCCAAGUUGGCAAACACAUCCUCAUCCCAGAGGGUGGUGCACCCCAUCUUGACUGAGACAGUGGCUUCUGCACUCGGGACUUACCUUGUCCUGGGUACUUCUUCAUCUGGUUGUUCAUUUGUACUCUAUAAUAAACGGUAAGAGUAAGCACA